GACGAACGCUGGCGGCGUGCUUAACACAUGCAAGUCGAACGGAAAGGCCCUGCUUGCAGGGUACUCGAGUGGCGAACGGGUGAGUAACACGUGGGUGAUCUGCCCUGCACUUCGGGAUAAGCCUGGGAAACUGGGUCUAAUACCGGAUAGGAGCCAUUUUUAGUGUGAUGGUUGGAAAGUUUUUUCGGUGUAGGAUGAGCUCGCGGCCUAUCAGCUUGUUGGUGGGGUAAUGGCCUACCAAGGCGGCGACGGGUAGCCGGCCUGAGAGGGUGGACGGCCACAUUGGGACUGAGAUACGGCCCAGACUCCUACGGGAGGCAGCAGUGGGGAAUAUUGCACAAUGGGCGCAAGCCUGAUGCAGCGACGCCGCGUGGGGGAUGACGGCCUUCGGGUUGUAAACUCCCUUCGCUAGGGACGAAGCUUUUUGUGACGGUACCUAGAUAAGAAGCACCGGCUAACUACGU
rnacentral:rRNA from 1 species